rnacentral:rRNA from 1 species
UACAGAGACUGCAAGCGUUAUUCGGAUUCACUGGGCGUAAAGGGUGCGCAGGCGCCGGGUGUGUGAGGCGUGAAAGCCCGAUGCUUAACAUCGGAAUUGCACCUCAAACUACACGGCUAGAGCAUUGGAGAGGGUAGCGGAAUUCACGGUGUAGCAGUGAAAUGCGUAGAUAUCGUGAGGAACACCAGAGGCGAAGGCGGCUACCUGGACAAUUGCUGACGCUCAGGCACGAAAGCGUGGGGAGCAAAAGGG